rnacentral:rRNA from 1 species
UACGUAGGGGGCAAGCGUUGUCCGGAUUUAUUGGGCGUAAAGAGCGUGUAGGCGGCCAGACAGGUCAGCUGUGAAAAACUCGAGGCUCAACCUCGAGACGUCGGUUGAAACCGUCUGGCUAGAGUCCGGAAGAGGAGAGUGGAAUUCCCGGUGUAGCGGUGAAAUGCGCAGAUAUCGGGAAGAACACCCGUGGCGAAGGCGGCUCUCUGGGACGGUACUGACGCUGAGACGCGAAAAGCGUGGGGAGCGAACAGG